ACACCUCAACUCUCAUGGUUUUACCGUGAUGAGCUUGGACUUUGGGGGUCUUGCUGGCCUAUGGUCGGCUCCUCUUAAAUGAAUCAGCUUGCCAGUGUUUGGUGGCAUCGCAGGUGUGAUAACUAUCUACGCUUGUGGUUUUCCGCCAGGUAACCUUCAGCAGCUGGAGGUUCACUGGAGCUCAUAGAUGUCUCUCCUCAGUGAAGACAGCCCUUUGAAU
rnacentral:misc_RNA from 1 species